rnacentral:rRNA from 1 species
CCUACGGGAGGCAGCAGUGGGGAAUCUUGCGCAAUGGGCGAAAGCCUGACGCAGCAACGCCGCGUGCGGGAAGAAGGCCUUAGGGUUGUAAACCGCUUUCAGUAGGAACGAAAAUGACGGUACCUGCAGAAGAAGGUGCGGCCAACUACGUGCCAGCAGCCGCGGUGACACGUAGGCACCAAGCGUUGUCCGGAUUUAUUGGGCGUAAAGAGCUCGUAGGCGGUUCAGUAAGUCGGGUGUGAAAACUCUGGGCUUAACCCAGAGCCGCCACUCGAUACUGCUGUGACUUGAGUUCGGUAGGGGAGCAGGGAAUUCCUAGUGUAGCGGUGAAAUGCGCAGAUAUUAGGAGGAACACCGGUGGCGAAGGCGCUGCUCUGGGCCGAUACUGACGCUGAGGGGCGAAAGCGUGGGUAGCAAACAGGAUUAGAUACCCUGGUAGUCCACGCCGUAAACGUUGGGCACUAGGUGUGGGUUCCAACCAACGGAAUCCGCGCCGUCGCUAACGCAUUAAGUGCCCCGCCUGGGGAGUACGGCGGCAACGCUAAAACCNCAAAUGAAUUGACGG